rnacentral:rRNA from 1 species
AUUGAACGCUGGCGGCAUGCCUUACACAUGCAAGUCGAACGGUAACAGGUCUUCGGAUGCUGACGAGUGGCGAACGGGUGAGUAAUACAUCGGAACGUGCCCGAGAGUGGGGGAUAACGAGGCGAAAGCUUUGCUAAUACCGCAUACGAUCUCAGGAUGAAAGCAGGGGACCGCAAGGCCUUGCGCUCACGGAGCGGCCGAUGGCAGAUUAGGUAGUUGGUGGGAUAAAAGCUUACCAAGCCGACGAUCUGUAGCUGGUCUGAGAGGACGACCAGCGACACGGGGACUGAGACACGGCCCAGAGUCCUACGGGAGGCAGCAGUGGGGAAUUUUGGACAAUGGGCGCAAGCCUGAUCCAGCCAUGCCGCGUGCAGGAUGAAGGCCUUCGGGUUGUAAACUGCUUUUGUACGGAACGAAAAGACUCUGGUUAAUACCUGGGGUCCAUGACGGUACCGUAAGAAUAAGCACCGGCUAACUACGUGCCAGCCGCCGCCGUAAGAC